AAGAGACCCUCACAAAAAGGAAGAGGGGGUUGUGUAUUCAACUGUGGCAGACAUGAGCAGAUCUACUCAGGAUGAUGUUACGUAUUCAUCUGUAGUCCACAUCAAAUCUCACAAACCAAAAUCCAGACAGAAUAAUGCUGAGGAGGCCACCAUCUACGCAAGUGUGCAGAAAGAUAAAACAUGACACAAACACACACCUAAAACAGCAUCUCAGAUAUUCUGCACUGGGUUAUUGUUUUAAGGAGUUUGAUGGCUUUUACAUUAACAUAAUUUGCUUUCUGUUAUUUCUACUAUUAGCAUAAUUGCAUAUGGUUAUCGUCAUUUUGUAAAAAUUAUGACAUUGUUAGAAAAAAUGCUACAUUUCUGUUUUUCAAAAAUAUUUUGUGUUUUGAAGAUGAUUGGGCGAUUCAGUUUAUUUCUUAAAUGCAAUAAUACACAUAGUAUUCUUACUUUGGAGGCUCUAAAUAAAACAUAUUUAUGUUUAAUUGCUUAAAUAUUUAAUUAAAAGCUAACAUUUAUUCCACACUGAAAAAAAUUGCGUAGAAACAGUUUUCAUUUAGAAAUUGCUAGUAAAUUUCACAAAUGUUUACAAAGUUGGCAAGUAACAUUGAAAUAAUUGUGACAUUUUGAAGUAGACAAAUAAUAUUUAAUUUAUCAGCAAGUUCUGGUUUCAGCUUUUUUUAAGAAACUAAAUGUACAAACAAAGAACAUUUUAAAUUCUAUGUACACAGUAUCAUUAAAACUGUCUGUUUGAAAUGUAA